GUGAUCUUUUGUGUACUGUACAUGCAGUCGACGAUGAAGCCCAGCUUAGCUGGGUGGAUUAGUGGCGAACGGGUGAGUAACACGUGAGUAACCUGCCCCUGACUCUGGGAUAAGCCCGGGAAACUGGGUCUAAUACCGGAUAUGACUUUUGACCGCAUGGUUGAGGGUGGAAAGAUUUAUCGGUUGGGGAUGGACUCGCGGCCUAUCAGCUUGUUGGUGAGGUAAUGGCUCACCAAGGCGACGACGGGUAGCCGGCCUGAGAGGGUGACCGGCCACACUGGGACUGAGACACGGCCCAGACUCCUACGGGAGGCAGCAGUGGGGAAUAUUGCACAAUGGGCGCAAGCCUGAUGCAGCGACGCCGCGUGAGGGAUGACGGCCUUCGGGUUGUAAACCUCUUUCAGUAGGGAAGAAGCGAGAGUGACGGUACCUGCAGAAGAAGCGCCGGCUAACUACGUGCCAGCAGCCGCGGUAAUACGUAGGGCGCAAGCGUUAUCCGGAUUUAUUGGGCGUAAAGAGCUCGUAGGCGGUUUGUCGCGUCUAUCGUGAAAGUCCGAGGCUCAACCUCGGAUCUGCGGUGGGUACGGGCAGACUAGAGUGAUGUAGGGGAGACUGGAAUUCCUGGUGUAGCGGUGAAAUGCGCAGAUAUCAGGAGGAACACCGAUGGCGAAGGCAGGUCUCUGGGCAUUUACUGACGCUGAGGAGCGAAAGCAUGGGGAGCGAACAGGAUUAGAUACCCUGGUAGUCCAUGCCGUAAACGUUGGGCACUAGGUGUGGGGGACAUUCCACGUUUUCCGCGC
rnacentral:rRNA from 1 species